rnacentral:lncRNA from 1 species
CCCACCCCCACGAACUCAUACAUAUCUCCAACUAACCCCCUUCUGUGCUACUCGUGUUGGGUUUCAUUCCCCAAGUCGACUUUAACCUUUUUGAUGGCACAAAUAGACAUUGUUGACUUUGCAUAAUAAUUGAGUUUAACUACUGCAAAUAGGAGUUGCCAUACUGUGGGAUAUUUGACGGGCUCAUGGUAAUUGUGCGAUGGGUUCCACAUUCUGCAGGAGAAGUGGAGUUUAGCUGCUUGGAUGGUUGUUGUUUGUGGUUGGAAGGAACUGAAGCCAAGCCAAGAGCUGAAGCCAACCGAAGGACAUGCAUCGUACCUAUACAAUGCCUCUCCUAUCGGUCCCCCUCUCUGCCAUUCCAUGGCAUGCCCUCUCAUAUCCAAUACCAUGCCGAAGUAUCGCUAACCAUCUACCUGUGUGUGAUGCAAUUUUUGGCCAUUUCCAUUGAAGAUACAGGGAGAUACCACAUCCCAGAAUAAAUUAAACACACACACACAAAUACACACUGAGACACAGAAUCAGACACUCUGUGAAAGUAAGAGAUAGAGAAUCAGAGACUCUGAAAGAGAAAGAGGGAGACACUCAUCUGCAAAACAAACGUUGAGCUAUAGUGAAAACUGCUCUCACGCACCAUCUAGUCCUCAUGUCGCCUCCUCCCCUAUCCUACUGCUUCCUCGUAGUCAUUUCUCCUUUUGUGGUUACACUGGCAAACAGUCUUUGGUGAAAAGUAAACGGCAAAUGCAAUCAGGUAGACUACAAGUCCUGUAAAAUGACUCCUAAAUGCCGGGAUUGUAUAUUUUUCGCUAUUAAUAACUGGUAGAUAACUGAUUUCCUCCUGGCACUGCUCUCAAACGCAAUCGAAAAAUGGCAAGGGCAAUUAGUAAAGGAAAGUGUUGAGCCUGAGGUUGGCAGCGAAUGAUCAAGAUUGAUUUAACUUAAAUAGGGCUCUAAAUUUAUGCCCCCAAAUAUGCAGAUAAUCCCUUGUGGAAGAACAAA